ACAACAAGAUGAGGAUCCUUCUGAAUCUCAUCCUCCUCUCCUUCAUGACAGGUGGGUGAGAGCAGUUCAAUGGUGAUUGCGUCAUCCGUGGAUCUGUCGGGGGGUAGGAAAAUUGAAGAGGGUCGAAUGUGUCUGGGAAGGAGAAGGGGACAUGGUCUUUGACUCUCGAAGGACGUCGUGAUGACAGAUAUGGGUGCUACAGAUCGGUAGUCAUUCAGUCCAGUUACUUCCCCUUUCUUGGGCAUGGAGAGGAUAGUGACACCUUGAAGCAGGUUUCGGAUAAUGUCCUGAGCUGGAGAGAGAUGUCUGAAAAAAACAACAGCUAGCUGGCCUGCACUUUCUCUGAGGGCUCGGCUAGGGAUGACGUCUGGGUCGGCAGAAUUGCCUUAAGUUCUACUAUGUAAUUCUACGCUCUGUAGUCUGAAGAGAAGAAGUUGUCUGGUUGUGACACAGUGUUGUUGUUACCAGAGCUGCGGUCCAAUUCAAUAGAAUUGAAUUCCAUUUCAACACAGACAAUGAAUCACAAUUCAAUGUAUCACUGAUUACCAUCAUUUUCCAUGUGGACUUUUCAAUCUAUGAAUGGAAUUUCACUUCACUUUCUGAAUUGACUGAGUUGAAACAUGUAGUUUAUUAGACUGUAACAUCGUCCCCCAGGAUCAAUAGAGAGACGACUGGUGGUGGAGAUUACAGUAUAUUUAUUCAUCAGUACUGAUAACAUUCUGUAGGGGGCGAUGUGGAGGUCGUUCUGUUGGUUUAAUGAGAUCUCAGUAGCUUGUCUGUUGAGUGAUGACGUCAUUCAUUAAGGGGGAGUUGGGUUGAAGAGGAGGGAUGUUUCUUCUGUUCAGAAACUCAUUUGUUGAGUUUAUAACUUACAAAGACUGUAUUUUGAUCAAUAAAUGUCAUUAAAAAGUAAUAAAAUAUAUUGAUGUAUACUUUAA